AGGAGACUUCAACCGCAUUGAUGGUUCGGAUGAGAAGAGAGGGGGGGAAGCCCUACACUAACAAGAUUGAAGUUAGGAAGUUCAGGAGUUCCUCAUGACUAAUGGGCUAGUCGACCCUAGGUUCAUUGGCUCGCAUUUCACUUGUUGCAACAAUAGGUUUUGAAGGGCUUGUGUCUGGGAGAGGAUAGACAGAGCAUUCCCAGCUGGGUCCAGCGGUUCUCCGACUUCCGGGUGUGACAUCUUGGAUAGCCUCAGACCACUGUUCGAUUCUGGUGAGUAAUAUUGAGAUGCUACUUCUAGGGCAAAUCUUCUAUUCGCACAAGUAAUUUAUUGUGGCAUUAAUUUAUUAUUAUUAUUAUUAUCAUUAUUAUUAUUAUUAUUUGUAAAAGUUGGCGUUAAAGUCACUACAAGAAAAGUGAGAUUUCCCGACACUUGUUUCCCGACGCUAUGGAGAAGCGUCGUAAAAGUUUAGUUUAGCGCCUGAAUUUGCCGACGCUUAUAAAAAGCGUGGGUAAAUUUUGAGAAUCGACGACGCUUUAGAGCGUCGGAAAAAGUCUGGACCUAAGACGACGCUUAUAAGCGUCGUCAGAGGCCAAAUCCCUUCAAAACCGCUCGCUUCCCUCCCGAUGCCCUAGCUGAUCCUGCGCCGACAUAAUUCCUUAAAAAUCUCUCCUCUCCCUCGUCCGAAGAGCGGAUCCGCGGAAGACGAUGGAGGGCGCCUCGGAGGAGCUCGAGUGUUGAAGCCGCUACCUCAGCUCCCGACGAGAGAGGAGCGGAAGAUAAUGGAGGGUGCCUCGGAGGAGCUCGAGCACCGAAGCCGCUACCUCAGCUCCCUCAUCCAGCGCACCAAGCUCAAGCCCGACGGCGAGCCGGAGAAGAGUCGCCAGCAGCCGGCGAAGCCCGACAAGGAGAAGCAUCGCCCCACCGUCAGCGGCGGGAGAAGGAGGAAAGGGUUGGGGUUGUCGAUGGCGGCGAGGAUGAUGCGCAGGAGCAGUGGCAGAACGUGCCGGUGAGGGCUCGCGCUAGCCCUCAAGAAGGCACGCUAUCUCCCCCUCCUCUAUUUCUCAGAUUCGUUUUUUCCGCAGGAAUUUGCUAGCCAGCUUUUACCUCUGCUUCCCAAACCCUAAUCCUCUGUGGGGACGGAGAGUGUUACAUAAGGUUUUUUUUCGUGGGGACUCUGAUUCUUUA
rnacentral:lncRNA from 1 species